AUACUUACCUGACAGGAGAGAUAUCAUGAUCACAAAGGUGGUUUCCCCAGAGCAAGAUUUAUCCAUUGCAUUUAAGAUGUGCUACUCCCUACUCCUGCAAUUUCCCCAAAUGUGGAAAACUCAGCUAAAUAAUUUGUUGUAGUGGGGGACUGUGUUUGUGCUUUACUCUA
ensembl:snRNA U1 U1 spliceosomal RNA